rnacentral:lncRNA from 1 species
GACUCGAGCCUCCGAGCACACUAGUUCAUCAUGUCAAGAUGCGGGUGAGAAGACCGUUAAGCGGAGUGAGUCUGUUAAUGUCACGACUGCGGAAGGCGGCUGGAGUCAUUAUUGCUGUGGAAGUCGGGUGCUGUGCAGCAGGAUAUUGGGCUUUCAGAAAAACCAACAGAGACCAAGAGUUCCGUUUCUACCUGAGAAACAACUGGCCGACGGUGUUGGACGCUUACUACACGUUCUGUGGCCAACUGGGCGAGGAGUACAGGCAGAUCGAACUGCGGGACAUCCAGGCCUGGCGGGGACGCACCCAGUGACGAAUUGAUCUUACCACGAUGUCUGCCGCGCUGAUAAAGGGUCUGACCCACCUGGUGUUCUGGUCCGGCAUGGGCUACAUGUUGAUGCAGGUGGUCACACCUAGUGACGACGAGAUCAGAAAGAAAUUACCGGGCGGCCAGAACCCGGCCUCGUCCGACCCCAGCCACAACAAGCUGGUUAUGGAGGCCAUGAAACGGUCGGCCGGGGUCAAGGACAAGUGACCAGCGCCGCGACCAACCCCCUAGUGCAAUCGAACUCGUGUGGAGAACGGUAACCGAAUGAGUGGAACCGAAACCAGUGAUUAUGACCCACUUGAUGCCGUUACCUUGCUGGGGAUAGAUACGGUGUUUUUGAACGUGUGAGCUGCGUUGCAUUGUGUGAACGAUUGUUGCGAUUUGCUGUUUUGGAAUAGAGUGUACCCGUAUUACAUGGCUUAUUCUGCGCGUUUAUCGCGCAAGGCAUUAGCGAUACCCGAUGAUAAUUCCCUUGAUAAUAAGUCCGCCCCCAAAAUAAACAUUUUCAAUGUUA